CCUACGGGAGGCAGCAGUGGGGGAUAUUGCACAAUGGGGGGAACCCUGAUGCAGCGACGCCGCGUGGGUGAAGAAGCGCCUCGGCGCGUAAAGCCCUGUCAGCAGGGAAGAAAAUGACGGUACCUGAAGAAGAAGCCCCGGCUAAUUCCGUGCCAGCAGCCGUGGGAAUACGUAGGGGGCAAGCGUUAUCCGGAUUUACUGGGUGUAAAGGGGGCGCAGUCGGCUAUGCAAGUCAGGAGUGAAAGCCCGGGGCCCAACCCCGGGACUGCUCUUGAAACUGCGUGGCUGGAGUGCAGGAGGGGCAGGCGGAAUGCCUGGUGUAGCGGUGAAAUGCGUAGAUAUCA
rnacentral:rRNA from 1 species